rnacentral:rRNA from 1 species
UGACCUCAAAUCAGGUAGGACUACCCGCUGAACUUAAGCAUAUCAAUAAGCGGAGGAAAAGAAACUAACAAGGAUUCCCCUAGUAACUGCGAGUGAAGAGGGAAAAGCUCAAAUUUAAAA